UGUUAGCGGCGGACGGGUGAGUAACACGUGGAUAACCUACCUAUAAGACCUGGGAUAACUUCGGGAAACCGGAGCUAAUACCGGAUAAUAUUUUGAACCGCAUGGUUCAAAAGUGAAAGACGGUCUUGCUGUCACUUAUAGAUGGAUCCGCGCUGCAUUAGCUAGUUGGUAAGGUAACGGCUUACCAAGGCAACGAUGCAUAGCCGACCUGAGAGGGUGAUCGGCCACACUGGAACUGAGACACGGUCCAGACUCCUACGGGAGGCAGCAGUAGGGAAUCUUCCGCAAUGGGCGAAAGCCUGACGGAGCAACGCCGCGUGAGUGAUGAAGGUCUUCGGAUCGUAAAACUCUGUUAUUAGGGAAGAACAUAUGUGUAAGUAACUGUGCACAUCUUGACGGUACCUAAUCAGAAAGCCACGGCUAACUACGUGCCAGCAGCCGCGGUAAUACGUAGGUGGCAAGCGUUAUCCGGAAUUAUUGGGCGUAAAGCGCGCGUAGGCGGUUUUUUAAGUCUGAUGUGAAAGCCCACGGCUCAACCGUGGAGGGUCAUUGGAAACUGGAAAACUUGAGUGCAGAAGAGGAAAGUGGAAUUCCAUGUGUAGCGGUGAAAUGCGCAGAGAUAUGGAGGAACACCAGUGGCGAAGGCGACUUUCUGGUCUGUAACUGACGCUGAUGUGCGAAAGCGUGGGGAUCAAACAGGAUUAGAUACCCUGGUAGUCCACGCCGUAAACGAUGAGUGCUAAGUGUUAGGGGGUUUCCGCCCCUUAGUGCUGCAGCUAACGCAUUAAGCACUCCGCCUGGG
rnacentral:rRNA from 1 species